GACGAACGCUGGCGGCGUGCUUAACACAUGCAAGUCGAACGGAAAGGCCCUGCUUUUGUGGGGUGCUCGAGUGGCGAACGGGUGAGUAACACGUGAGUAACCUGCCCUUGACUUUGGGAUAACUUCAGGAAACUGGGGCUAAUACCGGAUAGGAGCUCCUGCUGCAUGGUGGGGGUUGGAAAGUUUCGGCGGUUGGGGAUGGACUCGCGGCUUAUCAGCUUGUUGGUGGGGUAGUGGCUUACCAAGGCUUUGACGGGUAGCCGGCCUGAGAGGGUGACCGGGCAAAUGGGGGAGGGAAAGGGGCCAGGGACUCAGGGGGGGGGGGAAGGGGGGGAAUGUUGAAAAGGGGGGGAGGGCUGAAGGAGGCAACGCGGGGGGGGGAAAGGGGGCUUAGGGGUUGAAACCGGGUAUCGCGGGGGAAAAAGGGGGAGUGAGGUAAGGGGAAAAAGAGCACCGGGAAAAUUAGGGG
rnacentral:rRNA from 1 species